rnacentral:sRNA from 1 species
AAAGCUUUAUAUGAUGAUGAAGAACUUGAGGAAGAAAGAAGACUUAUGUAUGUUGCUAUAACUCGUGCAAAAGAAAAACUUUAUUUACUUAAUGCAGGAAGA